rnacentral:rRNA from 1 species
CGUGCUAAUACAUGCAAGUCGAGCGAAGUUUUUCUGGUGCUUGCACCGGAAAAACUUAGCGGCGAACGGGUGAGUAACACGUAAAGAACCUGCCUCAUAGACUGGGACAACUAUUGGAAACGAUAGCUAAUACCGGAUAACAGCAUUAACUGCAUGGUUGAUGUUAAAAGUUGGUUUUGCUAACACUAUGAGAUGGCUUUGCGGUGCAUUAGCUAGUUGGUGGGGUAAAGGCCUACCAAGGCGACGAUGCAUAGCCGACCUGAGAGGGUGAUCGGCCACACUGGGACUGAGACACGGCCCAGACUCCUACGGGAGGCAGCAGUAGGGAAUCUUCCGCAAUGGGCGAAAGCCUGACGGAGCGACGCCGCGUGAGUGAAGAAGGAUUUCGGUUCGUAAAGCUCUGUUGUUAGGGAAGAAUGAUUGUGUAGUAACUAUACACAGUAGAGACGGUACCUAACCAGAAAGCCACGGCUAACUACGUGCCAGCAGCCGCGGUAAUACGUAGGUGGCAAGCGUUGUCCGGAAUUAUUGGGCGUAAAGCGCGCGCAGGUGGUUUAAUAAGUCUGAUGUGAAAGCCCACGGCUCAACCGUGGAGGGUCAUUGGAAACUGUUAAACUUGAGUGCAGGAGAGAAAAGUGGAAUUCCUAGUGUAGCGGUGAAAUGCGUAGAGAUUAGGAGGAACACCAGUGGCGAAGGCGGCUUUUUGGCCUGUAACUGACACUGAGGCGCGAAAGCGUGGGGAGCAGACAGGAUUAGAUACCCUGGUAGUCCACGCCGUAAACGAUGAGUGCUAAGUGUUGGUCUCAUAAGAGAUCAGUGCUGCAGCUA